UCGACUGGAAUUCACCUUCGGGUGAUAGUACGGUGGCGGACGGGUGAGUAACGCGUAAAGAACUUGCCCUCUAGACUGGGACAACUGUUGGAAACGACAGCUAAUACCGGAUAUUAUGAGAUUCUCGCAUGGGAAACUUAUGAAAGGCUAUAUGCGCUAGAGGAGAGCUUUGCGUGCCAUUAGGUAGUUGGUAGGGUAAUGGCCUACCAAGCCGACGAUGGCUAGCCGGCCUGAGAGGGUGAUCGGCCACAAGGGGACUGAGACACGGCCCUUACUCCUACGGGAGGCAGCAGUGGGGAAUAUUGGACAAUGGACCAAAAGUCUGAUCCAGCAAUUCUGUGUGCACGAUGAAGGUUUUCGGAUCGUAAAGUGCUUUCAGGUGGGAAGAAAAAAAUGACGGUACCACCAGAAGAAGCGACGGCUAAAUACGUGCCAGCAGCCGCGGUAAUACGUAUGUCGCAAGCGUUAUCCGGAAUUAUUGGGCGUAAAGCGCGUCUAGGCGGCCUUUUAAGUCUGAUGUGAAAAUGCGGGGCUCAACUCCGUAUUGCGUUGGAAACUGGAAGGCUAGAGUAUCAGAGAGGUGGGCGGAACUACAAGUGUAGAGGUGAAAUUCGUAGAUAUUUGUAGGAAUGCCGAUUGGGAAGCCAGCUCACUGGAUGAAUACUGACGCUGAAGCGCGAAAGCGUGGGGAGCAAACGGGAUUAGAUACCCCGGUAGUCCACGCCGUAAACGAUGAUCACUAAGUGUGGGGGGUCGAACCUCCGUGCUCAAGCUAACGCGAUAAGUGAUCCGCCUGGGGAGUACGCACGCAAGUGUGAAACU
rnacentral:rRNA from 1 species